rnacentral:rRNA from 1 species
GCUGAACUUAAGCAUAUCAAUAAGCGGAGGAAAAGAAACUAACAAGGAUUCCCCUAGUAACGGCGAGUGAAGCGGGAAGAGCUCAAAUUUGAAAUCUGGCGGCUCUGGUCGUCCGAGUUGUAAUCUGGAGAAGCGUCUUCCGCGCCGGACCGUGUACAAGUCCCUUGGAACAGGGCGUCAUAGAGGGUGAGAAUCCCGUCUUUGACACGGACUGCCGGUGCUUUGUGAUGCGCUCUCGAAGAGUCGAGUUGUUUGGGAAUGCAGCUCAAAGUGGGUGGUAAAUUCCAUCUAAAGCUAAAUAUUGGCGAAAGACCGAUAGCGAACAAGUACCGUGAGGGAAAGAUGAAAAGCACUUUGGAAAGA